rnacentral:rRNA from 1 species
UACAUGGGGUGCAAACGUUGCUCGGAAUUAUUGGGCGUAAAGCGCGCGUAGGCGGUUAUUUAAGUCGGAUGUGAAAGCCCUCGGCUUAACUGAGGAAGUGCACCCGAAACUGAGUAGCUAGAGUACGAAAGAGGGUCGCGGAAUUCCCGGUGUAGAGGUGAAAUUCGUAGAUAUCGGGAGGAACACCGGUGGCGAAGGCGGCGACCUGGGUCGAGACUGACGCUGAGGCGCGAAAGCGUGGGGAGCAAACAGG